CCGGGGGUGCCCUGGCCGAGCCGCGCACUCGCGCGCGGACCCCGGGUGGGGCAGGGCAGCGGCGCCCUGGUGGAGCCCAGGAUACCAGCGAUCGCUGUGCCCAGGCCAGGACCCUGAGCAGCAAAGCGUGGCUGGUGCUGAGGCACUCAACAAAUAUUCGUGGAAUUGAAUGUGACAGAAAAUAGAUAAAGGGAAAGACAUUCACAUGAAAUUGCAGCCCAAUACCAUAGAAGGGGGGAUACACUUAGAGAAGAAAGGAGCUAAUCAAGGACACUUGCUGAUUAAAGGUGAAGAAAUUGAGGCACACAGAGAUGAAAUUACUUGCUGAUAAAAAUACCGACCAUAGGGACUUCCUUGGUGGUCCAAUGGCUAAGAUGCACCGAAUGCAGAGGCCCCGGAUUCCAUUCUUGAUCAAGG